AAUGACACCACAGCUACCCGAGAAAUUAAAUGCUCCCCAAUUAAGUUUCUUUCGUGGUUCCAUGGUUUUGACAUGUAACCCCUCCAGAAAACCACCACGAACACUCCCCUAGACCGCCGUUUGGACGAUCAUGCUCUCACAGCUCACACUUACCAGAGCGUAGGUGCGACGUUGCAUAAUUUAAAUCUAGCGACAUAUGUGGCUAAUUCACAUAUGAAGGCUACCUCCACCAUUAGACCACAGGGUAGCAUUGUGCGGUCAUCACAUAUCCAUACCUGAGUACUGCCGGAGAUGCAUAAAUAAAACCCCCC
rnacentral:lncRNA from 1 species